UUCGAAAUAUAUUUUUAUUUUUUUUAUGUUUACAAAUUACAGGUGGUAGUGGUGGUGUGCUUGUUCUGUUAUUGGCAAAACUUAAGAAGGAAUAAAUUUUUGAUUUCAAAUUUUGCGUUAUCAUUGUAAAAUAAAACAUUUUACAAUAUGUCAGCCCAAGAUCAAAUGCGCCGAAUGCUUGACGAAUUAAUGGGAACUAGACGAAAUGGGGAAGAUACACGUCAAGAAAAGCUUCAUUAUUCUAGUGUGAGAGUAUGCAAAAGUUUCCUCCUGAAUUGUUGUCCUCAUGAGAUAUUGAGAGAUACAAGAGGUGAUAUGGGCCAAUGCAAGAAAGUACAUGAUGUGGCCCUAAGAGCUGAUUAUGAAAAUUCGUCAAAGAAAGAUGAGCUAAAUUUUCAAAGAGAAGCUCUUAUGCAGCUGAAAAGUUUUAUUGGUGAAAGUGAAAGAAGAAUUCAAAUAGCUAAAGUUCGUUUAGCAGAAACACAAGAAAAUCUUAGCAAUGAAGAGCAAGCACGGAUUGCUAAAAUUAAGCAGAUAGGUGUAGAAAUCAAUGAGAUACUGGCUCAGGCAGAGAAGUUAGGAGCAGAAGGUGAUGUUGAUGGAUCCUUGAAACUGCUGGAGACAGCUGAUGCUCUCAAGAAAGAAAAGAAUGAAGCUGAGGAGGAUUAUAGAAAUGCUACUCCUGCUUCGAUAAGCCAACAACAAAAACUUAGAGUUUGUGAAGUCUGUUCUUCAUACCUUGGAGUUAAUGACAAUGAUCGGAGGUUAGCCGACCAUUUCAAUGGAAAGCUACAUUUAGGUUUCAUCACUAUUAGAGAAAAAAUGCAAGAACUGGAGAACUUUUGACAAAAUACAUUGUUUGCUACAUUGAAAGAAGUAUUAAAGAUCCUAUUAUCCUAAUUUGUUAUACAGUUGAACCUCGAUCCAUCAUUCCUGCAUCUUAUGUUUUCUCGUAUGUAUUGUCUUGUUUUAUCUGUUCCCUCACAAACCCUAUUCUAAUAAUGUUACUAAUAUUGGUUAAGAUCAUUUCUGAAAUUAAAAGGUUCCCGCAUCUAAUGUUCAGAAAUUUUACCAACAUGUGAGAAAAUUCUAUUAUUUUGUUUUGAUAAGAAAAACUGUAACUAGUGAUGGUAAUGAAGAAGAAAAAAAAUGAGGAUUUUUAAAUUUUUAAAGAAAACACCUCAAAUAUUACUUUUGUUUAUUUUGAAGUGUUUAUGGAAAGUGUUGGAAUUUAUGGUAUGCUGUUUGUUGAAAAAAUGGUUGCAGAAGCUUAGUAAGUGUUAAGUGAUGCCGCUGAAGAGGAAACAGAACCACAAUCAGUGCCAAAAUUUGCCGUAGACUUCAAUGCUUUUGGAACUAUGAGAAACCUUCUAUAUUGUCAC